rnacentral:rRNA from 1 species
UACGUAGGGGGCAAGCGUUGUCCGGAAUCAUUGGGCGUAAAGAGCGUGUAGGCGGCCUGGUAAGUCCGCUGUGAAAGUCCAGGGCUCAACCCUGGAAUGCCGGUGGAAACUGUCAGGCUCGAGUCCGGAAGAGGCGAGUGGAAUUCCUGGUGUAGCGGUGAAAUGCGCAGAUAUCAGGAGGAACACCAAUGGCGAAGGCAGCUCGCUGGGACGUUACUGACACUGAGGCGCGAAAGCGUGGGGAGCGAACAGG